GCGGUACUGGAGACAGGAGGUGAAAGGUUUUGGCCCUAUGGCGCAUAUGCUUGCUGAGGAGAGAAACAGGAAAAGACUUCCAGUGCUAUGUUGAAUGGAAGUGGCAAUAGUGGACAUCCUUGUCUUAUUCCUGAUCUCGAAGAAAAGCUGUAGAGCAGAUGAACUAUAAAUUCAUGUUGACAUAGGCUGACUUUGCUGGAGAUUUGAUCCUCAUUCGCCAUGUGGCAUCCUGUUCUUAUGGAGUGUGUGUUACUACUGUGUCAUAGAGCUGACCCAAGAAUAAGUACAUUUUAACAACUACAUCAUGAUUCUCAGCAAGUCUCAAUGUAAAUAUAAACAAGUGAAAACAAACAAGCCUAGUCUGAUGGAAAAUGCAUCUAUUUUCUAAUAAAACAGAGAAAGUUUAAAAUGCUGAUGCGUGCCACCAAGAACAGUUGUUAUGAUGUGAUCGGCCUACUGAGGGGAAAAGCACAGAUAAUAAGAAGGAGAGAAGCUACGGAGUUACCAAUAGAUUUCAGAUUGAGAUGCCACUCAGGCUGACUGUCAACAUGCCACAGACGUUAGGACAGCAAAAUAAAUAUACAAAGGGUGGGAAAUUGCCUGUGUAUGUGGGACCCUCAUACCUGUAUUCUACUUUACUCUUCUGUUAUUUUCUUGAUGUCCUAACUAGUUAAGCAACCAUUCCUCCCCUCUUCACCUUUAGAGACCCAGUUUAGAUAAGAAAUUAUGUUGCCACCCUAAUUAUGCAUACUAAUAUAAUGGUAACUUAAUAACUUUAGUUAUAAGCCAAUAACUCUAAUUUAUUUAGCCCUCCAAUUUAAUGGCUAGUGUCAAAGGUAACUACUUUAAUGGAGUGUUUGUUUUUUUUACUCUCUGAUUUGAACAUGCUCUAACUUUGAAUGCUCCUAAGUAUGGGACCCAAAUUACUCAUUCGUUCCAUUUUGAAAGUCUUCUGAGUAUCACUCUUCAAUCAGGAAGAACACCUUGGAAAGAACACAUUAAAAAGCAGCACACAUAUAUAUUAUUGAAGACAAAGUAAAGAAAA